CAUGUCCACAGAGCAAAUAUCAGCCGGCUCCAGGAGAGGCCCACUGGCCUAGGCCAGGCCUGUCAGAGGUGGUGCUGAUGUCUGUUAUUACUGCAAAUAUGUAAACUUAUUGAAGAAGGAGAAAAAACUCUUGCUCAAGCACAUGAAAGGAAAGUUUUGAAGCCAAAAUAAAGGAAAAUUCUUAUGUCACAAGAUAUUUCUCAUCUGCUUUGCCAGAAUGACUGUGCAAUUUGAACCUAGGAUCAAGGCACUCAGCUGAGGAGUCAGAGUUCGUGUCACCAAAGAGCAGUCUGUGCAAAGUGUCUGAUUAAACUACAGCAAAUCCCAGAGGUGAAGGCAUCUCUGUUUCUAGAUCUGGGCUGUAAAGCCUCACAGAUCUGUGGCAAGAAAUCAAAUGAAACUGUGCUGUACCUCACUCAAACCAAGGAAAUCUUCAAUUCAGAGGUUCAUAUGCUUUUACAUAUUAUUACAGGCAUUCAGUUUUCUUACUCAGCACUCUUAAGGACUGCGACUGCUGUUGGAUGUCUCCAGAUGAAGUUUUAGUCCAUCAAGGCAUUCAGAAGAAGGAUGAACUCAAUUUCUCUUUGAUUACAGUCACAAACAUCUUAGUCUCAUGCUUACGAUGAAGCAGAGGACAGGUUUUAGUCUGUAAUUUUCACCUUCUUCUCCAUCUUUCUUCAGUGCUUCCCUUUCCCUGAGAGGAUUUUCUGAUGUAAUUUUCCAGCCUCUUCGCAGUGAUUCAACAGCUCACAAUCUGAAGAAAAUAUAAGGAGAUAACAUACAUAAUCUUCCAGGGCUGUCCCUCAAGUAACAACUUGAGGGCACACUUAUGGCCAGAUCCUCUUGCUUCUGCUUUAUAGCUCUACCUCUGUUUAGAUUUUUGCUGUGUGCAAAAGGCAACAGGCAGAAAGAGAGAGCAGUUUUAUUCUCUAGAGUGCAAUUAGGGAAUAGACUGUGAUCAAAGACCUUCCAGAGCUGCAUAAAAGGCUUCAGAAGAAAUUUCAUUGUAUGUCCUCAAUCCAGUAACCCAUACAGAGGGCAUUUUCAAUAUUGUGCUGUGCACAAGUGUCACAUCAUCUUGCGGUGUCCCUCAACAUCUUCAAACUAAGAAGCAAAAUUCUGUGCCCCUUCUAAAAUCAGUGAAAAGGGACGAUUUAUUUCCAUAGGAAUAUGCAUUCUGGAACUGCUGUGCAGCUGUCUGCAAACCGGUGUGAGAUCUGACAUUGUCUCUUCUCCAGAUGGCUGAUAGAAAGAUUUUGUUUGCUUUUGUUUUUGAGGCUGAUGCACAGUCCAAAUGCAGUUAUCAACCAAAAGUCUUAAAACUCUGUACUUUCUAAAUUCUGUGUUUAUUCAGACCUGGAAGACAUUGACUGUUUGGCCAAGCAUCUGUAUCCCCACCUAGGCAGAUGGCAAAAAGAAAAUGAAAGUCCUAGCCUGAAGACAGAGAAAUGCUAAAGGAAAGCAAAGUGUUUACCCUGCAUACCAAAUUGCUUCUUAUCACAGGCAGGCUCAGAGCUGUCUGCAGCCAUCAGCACGGCGGUUCUUUUGCAGCGAGCACUGGAAGACCCCAAAUUGCCAAAGGCUCCACAGCUGAACUAAAAACUGGUGUUUUGCAGCUGUUCAAGGAGGAAGGAGAUUCUCAGGACCUGUAGUUUAGAAGUCAUGGCCCUUGAGCAGUUUCCUUUAUUGCUAUUAAAUUUUCUCUUGAGUAUAAUAUAAUGAAUUUCCCUUUAUGCUGUUCCAGUGUAUUUGUUUGUUUAACUGUGGUGCUCCUUGGAUGGAGAAAUUUUUUUCCCACAGUAUUGUUGGAUUUUUGUUUUUUUUUUCUUUCCCUUCCUUCCUUUUACGAAUGUACAGUUAAUCCGCAUGGCUUAGAAUUUAUUUAUAAAAAAUAAUUAUCAUACUCUUUUAUUGCAACUGUACCUUUGUUACACACUUCAGGGGUCUUUUUUUGAAUAAAAGGUGAAAACAUGCCUCAGGAAGACAAGGGAAGAAAGAUGGUCCCUUCACUUAGUCUUGUAGGGAGGGUGACUGUUUUCAAGUCAUGUAUUCUUCCUUUUUGCACUGCUGUCGGCCUCCCUUCUGAGCCUUUUCACUUCUGAUCAGUGAAGUUGUAUUUACAUCUAGCUUUAGUAGCAAAGGUAAUUAAACCCCCACAUUUCUAGCCUGCCUUGUUCAGAUCCUAUUAAUCUAGGGAAUGAAUUGCAUAGGAAAUAUAUAAUAAACUUUCAGUGGUUAAAAAAAAGGAGGCGGGGGCAAGAUUUAUUAAAAAAGUAAAUUGGAGGGGAAUAGGCUAUUUGUUUUAUUCCAUGUCUUAGAUGAAAAUAAUUGGCUCAUUAAUCAUAAUAUCAGCUUGGUCAUUUUAGGAAGGUCAGGCUAAAGAAUGAACAGAAACAAAGCACAGGAUUUUAAAAUUUAAACAACAAACACUAAGAAUGCCAGUGAAGAAAACUUCAGUAAAUAAACCCUUGACAUUUUGUUGCUUUAUAUAAACAAACAUUUAGGAUUAAAUGCAUUUCAUGUGUCUUCCCUCUCCCAGUUCUUUUAGAAUUACACACUGAAAACAUGUAUGUAUUUAUAUAUACAGGCAUACGUAUUCACACAGUAGCAUGAAAGUUCAGGGCAAUUUAUUACCUUUAGAAUUUUCUGGAUAAGAGUUCUUUUGGCUUUGCUAGCUUUCCAUGCAUCCACCAUUUCUUUCCCAAACUACCCUCUACCACCUUUGAAUGCAAGUAGUUACUGCUAAAGCAUGGAGAAGGCCAAACAAAUCUUGGGAUCCUUCCAUUCUGUAAGGUCCCUUGAUGUUUCAGAUGUCAUGAUUCCCUGUGGUAAGAAGGAUUUUAUUUUAGUCUCAGAUUUGAAAUAGCAAAUGUACAUUUUGUUGUCUGCUAUUUUUAAAAUUUAUUAUUAAAUAACAAAUAUCAAAUAUUUGGGGAAGUCUCAUAUAAAUAUACAGAAGCUAGAGAAGUUAUACAAAGAAUAGUUUUUCAUAUCAAGUUUAAAAGAGAUUUUUUUUAAUUUGGAAGGCAUUUGGCUGGGGAUGGCAGUGUCAUCUGUCUCUUUGUUGCUGGGUCUCAUCUUUCUUUGUUUUCUCCCCUGAAUA